rnacentral:rRNA from 1 species
UACGGGGGGGGGCAAGCGUUGUUCGGUAUUACUGGGCGUAAAGGGCGCGUAGGCGGUGCGGUACGGUUUCGGUGAAAUCCCUCGGCCCAACCGAGGAACAGCCGAGGCUACGGCUGCACUAGACGGCAUCAGGGGACAGUGGAACUCCCGGUGGAGCGGUGAAAUUCGUAGAUAUUGGGAAGAACACCGGUGGCGAAGGCGGCGCUCUGGACCGAGACUGACGCUGAGGCGCGAAAGCGUGGGGAGCAAACAGG